CAUUAGUUCCUUCUGAAGUAAGGUCUUAAAGCUGUGACUGACAUUUUUUUCAUCAUGAACCCUCUCCGGACAUCAUGUAGCCUGUGGUCCAGCCUCCUCAAGAAAUGCAGAGAGAUAACAGCAGCCUCUGAGGCCUUGAAGAAAACCAGCCCGCAGCAGAAAGAUAACAGCAGCCUCCCAGGCCUUGACGGAGGGAUUUUGAAGAGUGCAUGCCAGUGACGUAUAGAACACGCCUCCAUUUGGGUUCGUCUGAGGUUUCCUCAUGAAUAAGUCCAGGUGAUUCAUAUCUGCCAGGGUCCUUCCCAGAGCGUCACAAUAGGGGGCAGAUGGACCUUUUAAAUGUGUAAGUCAGGUCAUGCUUCCCCUCGAUUUACCAUCCUCCAGAGGCAUCUCGCUGAAUGAACCUUGCCCUCCCACAGCCGACAGGGCCUUGCCUGGUCUGGCCUCUGUUUUUCUCUCCAACUUUCCUGCUGCACCUCUGCUUCCCCUCACUGUGCUCUGGCCACAAUGGGCUUCUUUCAGUUCCUUGAGCAGGUCAAGCUCUUUUCCUGGAAAGAUUACCCAAUCUGUUCUGCUUGAAAUUGAUCAGUUGCUAUGUUCCAGGAGUUGUGCUAUGGAAGAGAGAGACAGUAAAGAAUUGCCAUUAUCUUAAAAAGGAAGUAACUGCAAGUGAUGUUUGUUAAAUAAAUUUUACCCUCUUUAGGCUACAUGUUGUCUGGUUUCUUUGCUUUAUUCCUUUAGUUUAAUUCUGGAUUACCCAAAGGCUGAAUAAGCCAUAAAUUCGUUCUUGGGACAAUGAAGUAUGACUUUUACCCCAGGUUUGAACUUAUUUGUAAACAGG